rnacentral:tRNA from 1 species
UCAUCGGUGGUUCAGUGGUAGAAAGCCCACCUGCCACGCGGGCAGCCCGGGUUCGAUUUCCGGCCAAUGCA